AUAUUGAGGCAAAGCUCAACUUAUCUUUCAUUAGCUGCAGGCUAACCAUGCAGACCAUGGCAAGGGAUCAUCUGAUGCUAUUACCUUGUUCAUGAGACCGAAAGCUUCCACUCAGGCACUUAAAAAUAACGGCAAGCUGACAACUGUCAAUAACCAUUAGUAACUACUUUUUCAGGGAUAAUGACAAGGUGAAGAAGUCAUACAUAACAGUAAUAAAGUCUUAAGUGAGAUUUGGAUAAAUCAUCAAAAAUGGAUCAAAACUUCCCGUUUGAAAGUAAGCUGUCGACGGAUAACUGAAUCUACGAAACUCAUUCUUUUCCCCAGACUUUAUCACCAAAGAUUGAGAUCGACUGCAUGAAGGCACUCAAAGAAUACAAUCAGUCCCCUUUCCUCAAGGACACCAUACAGCAACAGCCCGAACCACAAUGGUUACACUGUGCAAAAUUACAAAGCAAAAUCCAUUCAAAGCUGCAUACCUGAUAAAUGGAGCACAGCACAAACAGUUCACAGAUAAAGGAACACAGAUGAGGAGAGCCACCAAACAGGAGGGAACAACCCCCACCCCCACAUAUAACUGCAUCGAGUCACCCUCUGUGCACCUCUCCUGGCUCUGCACUUCAGAGAUCAGCAGGUUACAGCUCUGCUUUUCACCUUCAGCUGGCUUCCCUUGAGCCUAUUUUCAGCAAUGCUUAGAUGAUUUUGUUGCAGCCAUUUGUGCCUCAG